rnacentral:rRNA from 1 species
GAUGAACGCUGGCGGCGUGCCUAAUACAUGCAAGUCGAGCGAACAGACGAGGAGCUUGCUCCUCUGACGUUAGCGGCGGACGGGUGAGUAACACGUGUAUAACCUACCUAUAAGACUGGGAUAACUUCGGGACACCGGCUCUAAUACCGGAUAAUAUCUUGCACCGCAUUGUUCAAUAGUGAAAGACGGUUUUGCUGUCACUUCUCGCUGCAUCCGCGCUGCAUUAGCUAGUUGGUAAGGUAACGGCUUACCAAGGCAACGAUGCGUAGCCGACCUGAGAGGGUGGUAGGCCACAUGGGAACUGAGACAGGGACCAGACUCCUACGAGAGGCAGCAGUAGGGAAUCGGCCGCAAUGGGCGAAAGCCUGACGGAGCAACGCCGAGUGAGUGAUGAAGGUGUUCGGAUCGUAAAACUCUGUUAUUAGGGAAGAACAAAUGUGUAAGUAACUAUGCACGUCUUGACGGUACCGAAUCAGAAAGCCACGGCUAACUACGUG